rnacentral:tRNA from 1 species
GUUAUUUUGGCAGAGAAGUGUAUUUGAUUUAGAAUCUUAUUAUGUAAAAUUUUUACAAGUAACA